AGCGAACGCUGGCGGCAGGCCUAACACAUGCAAGUCGAGCGCCCGUAGCAAUACGGGAGCGGCAGACGGGUGAGUAACACGUGGGAACGUGCCUUUAGGUUCGGAAUAGCUCCUGGAAACGGGUGGUAAUGCCGAAUGUGCCCUUCGGGGGAAAGAUUUAUCGCCUUUAGAGCGGCCCGCGUCUGAUUAGCUAGUUGGUGAGGUAAUGGCUCACCAAGGCGACGAUCAGUAGCUGGUCUGAGAGGAUGACCAGCCACAUUGGGACUGAGACACGGCCCAAACUCCUACGGGAGGCAGCAGUGGGGAAUCUUGCGCAAUGGGCGAAAGCCUGACGCAGCCAUGCCGCGUGGAUGAUGAAGGUCUUAGGAUUGUAAAAUCCUUUCACCGGUGAAGAUAAUGACUGUAGCCGGAGAAGAAGCCCCGGCUAACUUCGUGCCAGCAGCCGCGGUAAUAC
rnacentral:rRNA from 1 species